GAAAUAAUUAACUCCCAGCCAAGGGAUACUCAUUGGAUACAUCACGUGAGAAAUCCACAGAGCCUCACCGGAAAGGAAGACCUCUUAAGAGAUCAGUUACAGUAAACAACUCAAGAAUGAUGUAUCAAGUCUUGUCUGCCCUGGAAAACUCUAACUGGAGAACUAGUGAAAUUUUGACAUACCAGAAGUCAAGGGAGUGAGGCCCAGAUAAAGAAAAGGACAUCCUGGAACCUGAGUACGAGGCACUGCUUAACCACCACAAUUUUAAUCCACAGAAAAUGAGACUCCAGUGCUUUACCUGUUUCUGGGAACUUUCAGUGUCCAGAUAAUUAGAGCAAUCAUGGGAGAAGAUGCAGCUUUCCUUAUAAGCCAAUAUUUAAGAAAUAAUUCACUCCCCACCAACCAAUCAUGGAUUCCUACCCGUGAUCCAGUGAUCCUCAUGGAAUGGUAUGAUAAAAAUACUAGCCAAAUCUUAAAACCCGUAGGAAAUACCAAUGUGUAUGCCUGAGAAGGGGAAAUGGGACUUAAGCAGGGGCGGCUCUAGGUAUUUUGCCGCCCCAAGCAAGGCAGGCAGGCUGCCUACGGUGGCUUGCCUGCGGGAGGUCCCC